GGAAUUCGAGCCGGUAACAAAAUUCUCGAGGUAUUUUUCACGAGGUGGUCAUCAUUAAUUUAAAAGCCGCGGCCAUUUUUGUCGCGGUGGGUGGACGAUCACGAAUAAAUUUCUCUGAAUGAAAAAGUUAACGUGUGCACCGUUGUUCCACACUUUCUACGUGGCCACGGUAUGUAACACGCGUCCAUGCCGAACUUGGUCCUUGGUUACUUAUUGUCUCGUUACGUUCGCCAUGCGUGGAGCUCGUCCUCAAGACGAGUAAAGGUGGUCGCUGACACUGGAAGGUCGUUUCCCACUUUACAUUGACACACUCAUCGGCUCUGCGGUUUUACGAGGAUACGUGUUGCUUUUGCAUAUUGCUUUCGCGUAGGAUAAACGUGAGAUAUCACUUUGCUUCCUACAACCAAGCGCUGUGAUGACAAUGAUGAUUCAAACUGCUCGAUGUGAUUACAUCACACUGUAUAAUUUACAAUGACUAUUAUUGUACAGUGUGUCUAAACAGAUUUUAUAAAUGAGCAAUAAUAAUUUCAACGAAAAAGUGGAUUAGACGAUUUGUGCGGAAAAUAAAAUGUCUAAGA